UCCGUUCAUGAGAAACUCCACUACCCUUAGUUUCCUCUUGUUUACCUCAUCCUCUUGUAUUAUCAUAAGAUGAGGCGAGCAAAAUAACCCUCCUCUUCCUUUAUCAAUCGGUCAACUUGUCCAUCUUCCCAAUUGGAGGCUCCAAUUAUCGGGAGGAAAAUUUGAAAAAGGUUCCUCCCCAACGCAAGUUGCCCGAGAGAAGAUCCAUGAGAAUUAUGUCAUGUUCAAAGUCUUUCUCCCCACCAAUUUCCUCAUCCUCAUUUAGAUAUCUAAGGGUUCUUUCGAUAACUCGCCUGAAUAAUUUCCUGAAACGUUGAUUCCUUCUCCUCCUUUGACAGUUGUUCUUAACUCCUUUAUUUUUUACGAGAUGACAAAUUUUAGAGAUGACCCCAUAUUCAUUUUUUCGAGUAGUUAUUUCUCAAUGUUCAUAGGGAUCUAGUGAGACCUCGUUGGCGAAUACAAGCUUAUUGUUCUCCCAAAUUUAAGUCGUGGUAUGAGCAAUGUUCCUGCCUGUGAGUCACAACUUAAAUUAAUAACGGCGAGAGUUGAGGCUUUGGAAAAAUUAUAUUCUCAAGCAGCAAUGGCUUUAGAGGAGGCACUUCGAUGAGAAAAGACAUUACUCUAAGAGCUUGAUAUGUUACAUGCUUAUACUUGUGCAAAAUAGGAGCUAUCUUCUGCAUGUAGACUUUAUCGCUAAUUUUAUAUUUUCCUCCUGUCUUUUGGUAUACAUAUAGGAAUGUCUAUCAUUUUUUAGCUUUUCCUUAUUCUAUGUAUUGCAUCCUUAUAUAAAUGUUUGACUUUAUGGAAGCGUGUUAUGCGAACCUUCAAUGUUCAAAUUUGCAUAUUUGUCUGCCCAUCAAUCUUAUCUUAAUUUGAAAUGUCGCCUUUAAUUCCACUAUAUAUUUUUCUUGUGUUAUUGAGGAAGUGAUGUGUCUUUACCAUGAUUCGACUUGUCAUCUUGAAUAAAUACCAUAUGUAUUUACUUUAUAGAGGUGCACCCCAAACCUUCUUCCCCUAUUCACUUAUUAGCAUUCUAGUUGCUUGUGUCCCUUCCACAUUUCUCUUAUUUACUGGUUUGUCUGGAUGAUCCAAAAUCAUCUAAGAGAUCAAAUGAGAACUCUUGAUUUUGAAGGAGCAGUCAAAAGACGAGACCCUCUAAGGAGGGUAUUAGAAUGCUCAUGUCUUUGGAGGAAUUCUUUGAGGAUUCUAACCUUGCUUUUCUCACUUCAGUAGAUUCCUCGGAUUUGGAACACUUAGCUUCAUGGGUCCUUGGUGAAAAUUCUAAACCGAAGGUGGACUCUCCUUGUAUAAGGAUCUUAAUAUAACAAAGAGAUCAAGCAUGAAGUGAACUGGAUGUUGCCCUUUGUAGGGAAAGAGCAAUCAAAGCAAAGUUUAAUCUACAGAGCCAGCACUUGUGUAAGAUUAAUAUAACACUUGAAGAUGCCAUUUACCAUAGGACCAGGUGCGAACAAUUAGAGAAAAUCAUCUUCGACCAUCUUCUAACGAAGUAUCUCAUCAAUGGCAUCCUAAACUUUCGUUUCUUAAAUAUGUAUCCCUUCAAAUAUUAAUAUUUCAUAUUGUAAUAAAAAAUUAACCUAUGAUAUCUCAUAGUAAUACAAAUGUUUUUCCA